AUUCUGGCUUUGCCACUGAUACACCAUCUGGCCUUGCACAAGUCACUUAAUCUCUCUGUCUCCAUCCCUGUCCUUGUAUGUAAAACAGGAAUUGAUGCUUCCUUACAGAUGUGGCAGGGGGAUUGGGAGGUUUAAUUAAGGUGGCACUUUGAUAAUUUUAUAUAGCUAUUUAAGGGCUCAGCUACUAUUGAUGUCAAUGAAAUGCCUACUUGUAUCGGAGUAAAAACCACUGGAUGGACCACAGUAUUAACAGCAUGAUGUUGCUGACUUCAGAGGCUUUAAAAGCCCAGUCAGCGUGUCCGACAUAUGUGGAAAUUAGAUCUGAAUGGUGAGAUCACAUAUUUUGCUGAGGACCAGUUGUUGACAAAAAUGACGAUGGAAGAUGAUAAUAACAAAGAGCAUCCAGCAUAGAGGAGCAUAGCAAAAGUCUUGUGCCACUCAGUUGGGUAUCUGAUACCCACAUCUAUCACUCGUAUGUGAAUACUCUUGUGUCUUCUCUGAAUAUCUGAUUCUGAACUCUUGGCAUCAGAUGAUGAGCAAGCAGAAAUUGGAGGAUCAGGAGAUGGAGGAGGCAUGCUGCAGUCCAUUCGGAGGUGGAUGGUGGAAUCUUGAUCACACUCCAUGGGAAGGAAUCUAAUCAAAUAUAGCUUUUACCCUGGUCAGAUGAACUCUGCAAAGAUUAGAAUACAAUAUGUAUAUUUAUCAUAGUAGUGAUUCUCUGUACUUCUAAAACUCUUCCGUCUGAGGAAUUUUAAAAGCAUUUCACUAUGCCUCACAGCAUUCUUGUGAGGCCCAGCCAAUAAUUAUCUCAAUUUUACAAAUAGGGUACCUGAAGCACAGAGAGGCUGGCAACUUAGCAGAAGUCAUGCAGCACAUCAGCAGCAGGGACAGGAAUACUACCCGGAUCUCCUGACUUUUGGUCCUGAGCUUUCCCGACUGGAAUGGUGAUGAAUCAGAGAAGGGCAAUGGAAUGACUCCUUUGGAUGUGUGACUCAAAUGCAUAUCACUCUUCAUCCUUGAAGUGCCUCCUUAUUACACAGAUCUGCUGGUAUGGGGAAAGGGACAAGAAAAUGUUGGCCAAAAUAUUUCUCCCAGCUCUAUUUGGGAUAAGAAGAGCGGUGUAGCAUUGAAACUUGGUGCCUGCAUCUAUUUCUGUUGAGGAAUCUUAGGUUGAUGCUCCCAUAGAAGGAAGGAGGAAAUCUCUUCUUUUUCCCUGCAUUGAGUGGGGAAGACAAGGCCGGAGCACCAUGGGCAAGAGACUGUUCAGCUUGGGAGGAUGUAGAGCAACUGAGAUCUGCACUGGCACGCGAAACCCUGCAGGUGAAGAAUGGUGGAUUGUUUUGCACUCUUUGUUCCAUUGGGAUAGAGAUGGGCUCUUAUGUGUGCCUGGGGGGGCUAAAUUAAGAGACUCUACCUAGAGAGUGGGGAACUGCAUUGUCUACCUGCUAAGAGGAGACAGUCAUCAGCAGGGAAGCUGAGGCGCAGAAGAGGGUAACUAAGGCAUGGCUGUGAUUGGGAUAGAUAUGCAUCUCUUGGACAAUCAAAGGAGCUACUUCAUUCCUGUGGACCCCAAAUUAAAUCCAAC